rnacentral:rRNA from 1 species
AAAACAUAGUCUUAGGACAAUUAUCUAAGAUAAAACCUGCCCAGUGUUAUUAAUAUAAAUGGCCGCGGUACUUUGACCGUGCUAAGGUAGCGCAAUCAAUUGACUUUUAAAUGAGGUCACGUAUGAAUGGAAUAACGGGAUUUAGCUGUCUCUUUAACUAAUUUAUUGAAAUUACUAUAUAGGUGAAAAAGCCUAUGUUUAGAAAAAAGACGAGAAGACCCUUAGAGCUUGAUCUUAAGUUAAGAUUUUUUUUCACUUUCUUAUAAUAGUUUUGUUGGGGCAACAUAGGAACAUAAAAAUUUCCUUUAUAAAAAUAUACCGAUGAUUAUAAAUUUAAAUAAGCUACCUUAGGGAUAACAGCAAAAUAUUAUAAAUGAGUUUGUGACCUCGAUGUUGGACUAGAAAACUAAUUGGUUAGCCGCUUAUUAGGAAGGUUCUGUUCGAACCAUAAUUUUCUACGUGAUCU